AAGAGACCUCAUGUGGACGAAGGCCAGGCCAAGUAGCAUCAGCACGUAUAUCCUCAAUGAUAAUCGAUUUGGAUGAAAGGGUUGCCAGUAAAAGACGUAUUCUCAAGUUUUGGCUACCCUUCAGCUUCAUGUAAGAUACUUUACCCAUCUUGUUACUUGUCUUUCGCCUCUGCUUCUACGUAUAAAUUUGUAUAAUAUAUGCUCUUUGAUUCUGUCAGAUGAACCAAAAAAUGGGAAGUUAGCUGCAGGAAGAGAUGGGAAAAGAGCAAUUUAGCAGCGGGAGUGGUGGCAAG
rnacentral:misc_RNA from 1 species